CUUCUAUCACUGCCCUCGCUACCUAUACACUCCCUUCCGUGUCUUUCUCCACUUCCCCCACCCGCGUUCCCCGCGCGGACGGAGCUGAGGGGGCGGGGGCUCCCUCCCGGGAGCGCUUCUAGAGCUCGGAGGCAGCUCGUAGGGGCUUGACAGUCUACAUGUUUAAGUCUACCAGAAAAAAAAAAAAAAAUCACUGGAUAUGAAGUUGCAAUACAGAUCAAAGUCUGCAUCCACAUCCUCACAUUGGUGACCUUGGGGCACCACUUUCAGAUAAAAACAUAGACCUGAAUGGCAUCAUCCAGUAUCCAAGGAAACCAUGUAAGUACCUCUCUCACUGUGUACUUCUCUUAUUCAGAGUUUAAAAGCUAGCUGAGUACUGAAUAAGUGAGUGUUUUUAUUUAAUAAUUAUACGGGAGGUACUUUUUAGGAGUUUGCUAAAAAGAAACAGGUUCUUGAUUGUUAUAUGCAUCAUAACAAAGCUCUUAUGUUUUCAUCAUAUUUUUUAAAAUUAUGUGCUUAGUUCCAACCUCUCCAUCAUUUCUCAUUCUUAGGUACAAAACAGCUACUCAAAGUCCUGAUGAAUUGAGAGUUUCAAACUUUUCUAAGACCCAUUAGUGUCUGAGAAACAAUGUUUCAGAGUCCCUGUGCCAAGAAUAGUUACCUAAUGGUGAUAAAGCUUUUUAAAUUUUAAAAAUUAAGAAAAAUUAUUUGAAAAUAUUAUUUUGUUAGUAAAUAUUUGUAGCAGUUUAUUUGGUUUGAGACUUGCUCGGGGAUUGAGCAAGUGAGCGAAGAGAUGAGAUUAAGUAUUUAAACAACCAAAUCAUCUUGAAAGCAAGUGUAAUUUCCAAAAUGCAAAAAUUUGUUGGACAACAAUUUGAGAGGUUGGCAUAUUAUUUUCAUUCAUUUUUUCUCUUUUUCAUUCAUUCUUUCUCUUUUGCACCCAAUUUAAGGUACAUUUCAGUAGCUAAUAUCAGGGCCCUAAUUAAUUUUCAGAAAUGAUGGAAUCUACUAUGGAAAUUCAGCUUUAAAAUAACAUAGUGUUCUAGAGAUAGAUCUAUUUCUAAAAUAUUUGGAUUAUUCUAUCAAGUAUUUCUUUACUUGGACUUUAUUAUUUUCUCAUAUUUGAACUUUCUACUUUUGAUAUAAAAUUAUUUUCAAUAUUAAAUUAUUAUUCAUUAUAGUUUACUUUUUUUUUUUGUCGUUUAUCUUUUUUUUUUUUUAGGGCCACACCCACAGCAUAUGGAAGUUCCCAGGCUAGGGGUCUACCUAAUUGGCGCUGUAGCUGCUGGCCUACGCCACAGCAACGUGAGAUUCGAGCCGGGCCUGUGACCUACACCAAAGCUCAUGGCAAUGCCAGAUCCUCAGAUCCUGCAAGGCCAGGGAUCGAACCCACAACCUCAUGGUUCCUAGUUGGAUUCGUUAAUCACUGAGCCAUGACGGGAACUCCUGGUUUAUCUAGUUUUUUUUAAAAUGCAGACAUAUUACUUUUCAUUAGGGUUUUCAGGAGCUGCAUUUAAGUGCAACUGGUUCAGACUUGUGGUUUGGGAGUUUUUCAUAUUAUUUGGGUUUACUUUUGUUACUGUUGUGUUUCUCUCUUUCUACUGCAUCAUGAUUCCUUGCUAAGUAUGAAGGACAGAGGUGAUAUCACUCAGUUUCUCUGCUAAGUUAGACAUACCCUUUACCCAUGAGGAGAACCUGGCUAGGCUAUGAGUGUUUUUUAUGCUAGUUACAAACUUCACAAGUGUGGAGUUGGAGGCCUGACAUACUGCCCUUUGAACCAGGAAUUUCAUCACACAAAAUAAAGAUUGUACCAUUGCUGGGUAAACUUUGAAGCAGAUCAGGGUUAGAAUAGAUCAUUAAAGAAGAAAGACAAUACAAAUUGGAAAGGAAAACUGGCUAAUGUUAUAAUUCCCCAUUUCGAGGAAAUGGAUAUUUUAAUUCAACCUCCUAUACCACAGAAAAAUGACUUAAUAGAAAUAAACUGAUAAAUGAACAUCAGUUCAUCAGUAGUGUUCUAACAAAGAUCAUUAUGCAGCAAAACUUUCUGUGAUGAUGGGCAUGUUCUAUAUCUGCAAGUCCAGUGUGGUAACCAGUAGCCACGUGUCUGUUGAGCACUUGAAAUAUGACUUGUGUGAUGGAGAAAUGGAAUUUUAAUUUUAUUUAAAUUUAAUUACUUUCAAUUUACAUAGGCCAUAUGUAACUAGUGGCCACUGUACUAAUAUUUUGCUUUUAUUGGAAAUUAAAAUACCCUCUUGCAAAGAGUUUUUAAUCUUUUCGUAUGCUAUCAUAUAAUAUACCAAAAGAUUAAUAUUUGCUUUGAUAUUUGAAUUAUCAUUGUAGUGAAAUAUUUUAUAACAUUUCCCAGAGAUGGAUGUUUUUAAUACUGUUGAUGGGAAUACAUAAUAUUGAUUUAUAAGCCUGGGGUAGCAACUUUUAAAGUGGCCAUUGUAAACAAGUCUGUGUUUAAAAAGAAAAACACUUUAAUGAAAGUUCUAAGACGAUAAAUAUUUUGAAAAUACAUUCUUGCAAAUACUUCCUAAAAUGUGACCAGCUUAUACAAAUGCACACGCUGGCCUUGAUUCCCCAAAGUCGAUCCCAAAGCACACAUCAGGUUUUAAACAUGCUCCUAUAGCCUUUUCAGAUAUUUAGUGAAAAUGAGCAUUAGGAUGCAUGAUAUUUUAAUAGUAGUGCUAGUACAGUAAUGUUGUAGACAAAAUAAUUAUCUAAAAUACUGAAAAUUUGAAAUUAAUAUUUUAAAAAUCAGUAAGUCAACUGAUUUCUUAUCCAGGAAAUGGAGGGCAGGAUUUAGAUAAGGUAAGAAGAGAGAAGAGAUUUCUUUAAUCUGAACCUUGGACAAGCUACUCAGAGUAUCCCUCUGACUGCCAAAAAAAAAAAAAAAAAAAAAA
rnacentral:lncRNA from 1 species